UUAAGUUCAGCGGGUAGUCCUACCUGAUUUGAGAUCAAACGUUUGAAAAGCUGUCUUCGCUGAGGAGAGACAUCUGUAAGCUCCAGCGAACCUCCAUCACUGAAGGUCACUCAGCAGACGAUCACGAGCGUAGAUAGUUAUCACACCCAUGACGCCGCCAAAACACUGGCAAGCUGAUUCAUUUGCAAAGUCCAGCUCAU
rnacentral:misc_RNA from 1 species